GAGCAUUCCCCGUAUAAGAAGUGGAAAGUAACCAAGGAAGCAGUUGGGACUUGGGAUCGGGAAAACUUGUAAGUUAUAACUGUUACAUUCCAUCAAGAAGAAUCAAGAAAUGGUGAAGGUUCCAUACAAUUCUUAUGGCUAGAAAACUUCCAUAUCAAUUUGGAAGGCAUUCUCUGUUCAGGAUGCACUUGAAUCUAUUGGUAUUAACUACAAGAAAACGUAAGUUAUGAACUCCAUCAGCUCAUAAGUUGGUGGUUAGCCGUAUUUCACCAUCUUGGACACGAGCUCCCAAACUAUAAAUGUGUGGAAUCCAACCUUCCCAAUGGCAAUUCACGAUUCAGUUGUCUUCCUCCUCCCCUUCUGCUUUGCUCUGAUGUAAAACCAUUGCUGCACAAAUCACAGCUCUCAUUUACGGGAGCAUAUGGUGUCUCAGUCGUUCAUUUCAUUGCCACCGCUAAGAAUUUCCUCAACAAUUUGAUUUAUAGAAUUUUCCUUAUCCUACAUGAAAUUAAAUAUCAAUUAAUAACAACCAAAUUUUCAGUGCAGUACAUAUACGCUUUCACAUUAUGAAAGUAAUGAUCCUUAACCUUUACUCCAAUGGCGAUUGCUGUUUUGAGUUUAACAAGUUCACCUAAUCUCAAGGAUCCCUUUUUUUCAUCUUUGACAAAGAUCACUGGUACCUUCCUCGAUGAAGCCAAGCUUGGUAGAUGCUUCGUUAGCCAUUUUGGGUUGCAAUCUUGAGCUAUCAGUAUGGCCUAAUUGCUCAAUUAAGAGACUAAUUACUAUCAAUAUACCGUAGGCAGAGGCGGCUACAUAUUUCUGAUUCAAAGGUUAAAGGAACGGUAACUAACCUGAAGCUGAACCGCAGUCGGGUUGCGACGCUGGGUAGAUAUAAUAUGAGGCGGCGGCUUUUGACCGGAACCUUCCAUCUCCGACGUAGGCGACAUCCGUUCAAGAACACGAGUCACUUCAUUGACCCCAAUGGCAAAUCGUUGCUUGAACCAAAAUUUCUCAGGCAGCGAGUUUCUGUCCAGAUGCUUUGCAGACUCUAUUGCCCCAUUAAUUAGUUUGAGCAAACGAGCUAAACGCUCCCCCUCAUAGCAAUCUCGUUCUUGAGGAACGAAGCUAGACUUCGCGGCGUUGUUGGCACUUCCAGAAGCUCUGUUUUUGUUUCCCAUGGUUGCGCAUUGACUUUGUUUAGGGUUUUAG
rnacentral:misc_RNA from 1 species